GACAAGGGAGAGAGGUGACGGCUCAGGGGUCACGGGCAAACAGGGUUCCUGCGAAGCUUGUCGCGGCCUGCCGGAGGAGAGUAUGAAGGGGAAAACUAUGGGGGAGGGGGAAGAUGUACGCUAUGGAGCUGCUGGACAUGAUCAGACAAGCUAGGGCUGGUUGGAGGUGGCCUCAUAGACGCGGUGGAGGCGCAGAGCAUGGUUUCUGCUUGCUGUCCACGCGGUCACCACGCGCUCUGGCCAUCCUGGUACCUGUCUUCCUACCCAACCAUGUCUGUGGCGUCUACCUGACCCCCAAGAACUGAUUCACACACUUGGUUCACUCUUAGGUUUCCUAGAAUAAGGUUGAUGG
rnacentral:lncRNA from 1 species